UAGGGAAUCUUCCGCAAUGGACGCAAGUCUGACGGAGCAACGCCGCGUGAGUGAAGAAGGAUUUCGGUUCGUAAAACUCUGUUGUUAGAGAAGAACAGCGCAUAGAGUAACUGUUAUGCGUGUGACGGUAUCUAACCAGAAAGCCACGGCUAACUACGUGCCAGCAGCCGCGGUAAUACGUAGGUGGCAAGCGUUGUCCGGAUUUAUUGGGCGUAAAGCGAGCGCAGGCGGUCAAUUAAGUCUGAUGUGAAAGCCCCCGGCUCAACCGGGGAGGGUCAUUGGAAACUGGGUGACUUGAGUGCAGAAGAGGAGAGUGAAAUUCCAUGUGUAGCGGUGAAAUGCGUAGAUAUAUGGAGGAACACCAGUGGCGAAGGCGACUCUCUGGUCUGUAACUAACGCUGAGGCUCGAAAGCGUGGGUAGCAAACAGG
rnacentral:rRNA from 1 species